rnacentral:rRNA from 1 species
AGAGUUUGAUCCUGGCUCAGAAUCAACGCUGGCGGCGUGCCUAACACAUGCAAGUCGAACGCGAAAGCCCCGCAAGGGGUAAGUAGAGUGGCAAACGGGUGAGUAACACGUGGGUGACCUGCCUUCGAGUGGGGGAUAACGUCCCGAAAGGGACGCUAAUACCGCAUGACAUCCUGCCUUUGGACAGGCGGAGAUCAAAGCCGGGGAUCGCAAGACCUGGCGCUUGAAGAGGGGCCCGCGCCUGAUUAGCUAGUUGGUGGGGUAAUGGCCUACCAAGGCGACGAUCAGUAUCCGGCCUGAGAGGGCGGACGGACACACUGGGACUGAGACACGGCCCAGACUCCUACGGGAGGCAGCAGUGGGGAAUUGUUCGCAAUGGGCGCAAGCCUGACGACGNAACGCCGCGUGGAGGAUGAAGAUCUUCGGGUCGUAAACUCCUGUCGAGCGGGAAGAAACUCACGAGGGUGAAUAGCCCUUGUGGCUGACGGUACCGCUAAAGGAA